CGCGGCCUAUCAGCUUGUUGGUGAGGUAACGGCUCACCAAGGCAACGACGGGUAGCUGGUCUGAGAGGACGAUCAGCCACACUGGGACUGAGACACGGCCCAGACUCCUACGGGAGGCAGCAGCAGGGAAUAUUGCACAAUGGGCGAAAGCCUGAUGCAGCGACGCCGCGUGGGGGAUGAAGGCCUUCGGGUUGGAAACCCCUUUCAGGAGGGACGAAGCGAAAGUGACGGUACCUCCAGAAGAAGCCCCGGCCAACUACGUGCCAGCAGCCGCGGUAGUACGUAGGGGGCGAGCGUUGUCCGGAUUUAUUGGGCGUAAAGAGCUCGUAGGCGGCUCAACAAGUCGGCCGUGAAAGCCCGAGGCUUAACCUCGGGACGCCGGUCGAAACUGUUGUGGCUAGGGUCCGGUAGAGGAGAGUGGAAUUCCCGGUGUAGCGGUGAAAUGCGCAGAUAUCGGGAGGAACACCAGUAGCGAAGGCGGCUCUCUGGGCCGGCACCGACGCUGAGGAGCGAAAGCUAGGGGAGCAAACAGGAUUAGAUACCCUGGUAGUCCUAGCCGUAAACGAUGGGUACUAGGUGUGGCGGAUUCAUUGACAUCUGCCGUGCCGAAGCUAACGCAUUAAGUACCCCGCCUGGGGAGUACGG
rnacentral:rRNA from 1 species